ACUCCUACGGGAGGCAGCAGUGGGGAAUAUUGCACAAUGGGGAAAGCCCAUCGAUGCAGCCAUGCCGCGUGUGUGAAGAAGGCCAAUUCGGGCUUUGGUUAAAGACACUUUCAGUAGGGAGGAAGGUAGUGUAGUUAACACCUGCAUUAUUUGACGUUACCUACAGAAGAAGCACCGGCUAACUCCGUGCCAGCAGCCGCGGUAAUACGGAGGGUGCGAGCGUUAAUCGGAAUUACUGGGCGUAAAGCGCAUGCAGGCGGCCUGUUAAGUCAGAUGUGAAAG
rnacentral:rRNA from 1 species